rnacentral:lncRNA from 1 species
UGACAAUCCCACACCUUAACUGCUAGCUACAGUUAGGCGGGCACGCCUGGGGUGACAAAUUCUGUAUAUCAUUCGACGUCUGACUAACGUCAAGGAGGUCUCGUUGUCGUAUCAGUAUGGUUACCCGACUCACAAUACGUAUUAAAAUAAAUUUAUUCACAGCUAGGAUUUUGUUUAGAAUUUAUAUCUUGUUCGGGAUGAUAAUCCCAUGGUCUUGUAUCUAUAUCUCGUUCGGGAUAGUAAUCCCAUGGUUUUAUGUCUAUAUCUCGUUCGGGAUGAUAAUCCCAUGAUCUUGUGUCUAUAUUUCGUUCGGGAUGGUAAUCCCAUGGCUUUGAAACUAAAUCUUAUGCGGGAUGAUAAUCCCAUGAUUUUAUCAAUCUAUCAUAUAUCUAGUUUCGGGAUAGUGAUCCUAUGGUUUUUAUCAAGUUAUCUUACAUCUAUUUUCGGGAUAGUGAUCCCAUGGUCUUUAUCGAAUUAUCUUGUAACUGGUUCGGGAUGUUAGUCCCAGGGUUUUCAAAAUACUUUCUAUAUACAGUUUGUCUAAAUUAUAGUUUUGUAUAUUAAACUAUACUCUAUGUUAUUUAAUCAAUCUUGUAUUUAGGAAAAUAUGGGAUUUUCCUGGGGUUAACGUAUAUCACAUAACUGAACUGUAAUGAAAGUUAACGAAACUAAUUAACAUAAGAAAAUAUGGGAUUUUCUUGAAUAACAAACCUUUUUGGAAAACUAAAGGAAACCGAUACAUUUUCAUAAAACAAAACCGCUUAUGAACUCACCAGCUUUAUGCUGAUUUUCAAACUGCUUGUAUUCUCAGGUCCUCGUUAGACAGGUACCCGACGUUAUCUUUUGAUGAAGAUGGAGUGCUCAGAAGACUCGUCUCUACUUUUUAUUAUAUGAUAUAUGUAUAACUUUUGUAUAAUUUACUUUUGAACCAAAUGUAAACUUUCAGAUCUAUGUAAUGUAAUGGUUGUUUACUGUGAUUACUAUGUACAUUGGAUUUGAUACACAACAUGGAGUCAACCCCGGGAACGUUUCCGCCUUUGGUUUUCGGGGUGUGACAGAUUGGUUUCAGAGCCCUUGUUUAUAGUGAACAGAGUAUACCAAACCUUACAUGGUAUAAGACUAUAAACAUUAAGGGGCCUAAGUGCUCUGAACUAAAAGUAUCCUACAAAAUAUAAGUAUUUUCAAAAGUAUUUAAGUAUGCCGAGCCGUCGAAAUCCGUAACUACAAGUAGAAAAAAACAUAAAUAAAUGGGUGUUGUACGCUGCGGUUAAACCUGGGCAGUUAUGUAGUCGUGUCUAGGGUCAAUAUAGCCUGGCCAACUAUAUUCAUUCGCGACACGGGCAACAUGUGCUUGGGAGUGACUGUGGCAUGCGGCAUACCUAAAACUUACCCAAUAUCCUAAACAACAAAUCGUCGCUGCAGCGAACCAUGAAAUACUAUGGGAGUAUUUCUCGAACUGAUCCUUUGUAAAAAUCCUUGUAUACGCGUUAUUCCUCGAUCAUUCCUUUAGCGAUAACUUAUCUGCCCUGAUAAUUCAUUCUUGCUUCAUCGCUUAAUAGAAUUAUAUUUUUGUCUUAAAGAGAUAUUCUUUGUUUCAUAUCUCUUGAUUUAAUGUAGGGGACUUACCAUCCUCUUUUUCCUAAUCGCUUUAGAUCAAAAUGUCUUCAAAGAAGGGAUCCAAUUCAAGUAACAACAGCCCUCCGUCGCCACCCUCAUCUCACUUCGACCCUGUGAUGCUCCAGCUGGUUGUCUCUGCUGCAGUGAUGUCUGCAAUGACGAUCUUGAACCCUAACAUGUCCAUUGGUCCAGGAUAUAACCCCUACCCCCAAAACCAUAGAAAUGUUCAGGAGCAUCAAAACGAAAACGAUAAGAGUAAAAAGCGAAAAGGUCAGAGUUCCCAAGGACCCUCCAAGAGGCGUGAAACUGUGGCAGUUAAAUCUGUCACUACUCCUGUCGUUGUGCCUACAGUUCAAGUUGCUGCUACUCCUGUUGCUAUGCCUAUAGCUCAAGCACCUACCACUGGGUAUGCGGGAAAUCUCCCUUGGUGCAUCAAGUGCAAAUAUCACCAUUAUACCCCUGGCCCGUGUUUCAAAAGGAUCUGCAAAAGAUGUGGCAAAAAGGGCCACUCUGCUCAAAAUUGCAAAACACCAGUUCAUCUAAUCCAUCAAGCUUCUGGAUCAAGUAAUGAACAGGCCUGCUAUGGUUGUGGAGAAAUCGGACAUUUCAAGCGAAACUGCCCAAAGGCAGCAACCACCAACAACAUCAACAACGCCAAGAUGGUUUUAGCUAUGAAGCAAGAGAAAGCAGCCACUAAUCCCACUGCCGCGGGUAUAUUUUUCUCGACAAUUCAUAUGUUCGCAUUCUUUUUGAAUCUAGUGUUAAGAAAGUUUUAUUAGUCAUUCAUUCAAAUAUCUUUGUAAAUAUAGUCAUCGUCUAUUAAUCGAAACAUUUUCCGUUAAUAUGGUUACCAGUGAGAAUGAGUGCACUAGCGACUUAGCCCCAAGAGUUUCUUUCGAGCGUCUAGUUUAAUCUCACAUCAGACCUUUCGAGAUCUUCGUAGAGAUCAAUUCUGCAACCUUCAGGUUUCGAAUGCCCUUAGAACUUGAUAACAUCUAUCUAGACCAUCACGUCUCGAAUCCUUAGAAACGUCUACCCAACGAAACCCUAGUGAUUCCUUUGUGGAAACCGAAGUCGUUCAGGGUUGGAACUUCCACGAGAAAGCAGAUUGAUAUCAUAGAUUGAGAGAGAGUCAAGAAGCGAAACCAAGACAUGUCCCGAUAAUGAGAAUUUGUUAAGAACGCCCAGUAGAGACCUGAUUCCACUUGAGAAAGUGAAGAUCCGAAGCAACAAAUCCAUUCGUGUUUCAUUCCAAUCCAUGACCUGUAUCUUAUUCUUUGAAUUUCGGGACGAAAUUCCCUCUAACGGGGGGAUAAUGUAACAAUCCGAAGUUGUUCAUCGCCAAAAACCCAUUCUACCCGUAUAACUCGUCGGAGAUCGAAAUGUCCCAAUAUUGUUUUUGGGUUUAGUUAACAAAAAUUAUAUGUUUAUUAUCAUUCAAUGAGGGUCCAAAUCAUUUAGGAACUCAUGAAUUUAGCCCAAAACAUUUAUUUCAUAAGUUUUAGAAAUAUCCUCGUCGGUUGACGGAAACUCAAUCGGGUGCGACCUAAAGCAUCGUUUAAGGCCAGUAUCGGGUAGAAUUCCACCGUGUCCAAGUUUUAGGAACUAUAUAAGCAUGUUUAACCUCUCAUUUGAAGCUUUUUCCUUCUCUCUCUACUCUCUCUCUAACCUCUCUCCUAAAUCCAAAGAUUAAGGGUCCAAAACUCAAUUUUAAGGCCUCAAAUCCUUAAGGUACCUUCCUAGCCUUAAUCUAUAGCAUAUUUGGCUUCCAAAUUUGACAUUUAAUCAUGAAAUAGGACAUCAUAUGUGAGUUUACGGCCCAGGAGGCUGCCUAGGCCGUAAACACCAUUUUGAAGGGUUUUAAGCCCUUAAACUCCUUCCUAAACUCAUUUGGACUUUAGAUAUGGCUAAGGGACUUCAAGAUAUGGACUUAGAACAUUUAAAACUUUGAUUUUGAGGACUUUGAAGGAGUUUACGGCCAAGGCAUAAGCUUGGGCCGUAAACUCAUGUAAAUGGGGUUUUUCAUGCCCUUAAACCCUUCCAAAUCACUAGUAUGGCUUAGAUAUGAAUUAUAGAACCUUGGUUUUAGCAUUUGGACACUUGAAACAUGAUUUUUGGGGGACUUAUGUGAGUUUACGGCCAAGGCAUGUGCUUGGGCCGUAAACUCCUCAAAACUUGGCAUAAAUUCAAUUCUAAGGUGUUAGAAAGCCAUCCAACACCACCAAAAGCCUUGGAAUAAAUCAAUGGACCAACCAAAAAUAGUUUGAGGGCCUUAAACACACUAUUUGUGGGAUUUUUAAGAGUUUACGGCCAAGGCUUGUUCUUGGGCCGUAAACUCCAUGAUUCUUGGUGUUAGAAUGCAAACUAAACACCCCUAAGGCCCUUAGAUGAAUUUUAGAAGUCCUUCCAUGCAAGUUUUAGACCUUGAAACAUCUUGUAGCACCCUAUAGAUGAGUUUACGGCCAUGAGGGGGUCUCAUGGGCCGUAAACUCCAUAAACUCCUCAAAUGUCCCUUGCAAACUCAUAAUAGGCCUUGAAAUAAUUCUAUUAAUCACAUGUGAUUUGUUCUAGCUCCAUUUAACAUCAUUUUCUUGGAAAAAUAGGAGUUUACGGCCAUGGAGCCAUGCUAGGCCGUAAACUCCCAUAAGUGGGUCUAUUUGAUGUUUUAAAAUCAUUUCAAGUCCUUAAACCAAGUCUAGAAAUUAUCCCCUAAGUGUUAGAAGUCAUUUAGCACCAUAACCCACACCCACCAUGAGUUUACGGCCGUAAACUCAUGGGGAAUGGGUGUUUUUAGACCAAAACUCUUAUAUUAGUUUACUCAUGGGGAGUAAACUCAAGUCCCAAGUCCCUAGUGUCAUUUCACGUCCUUAAACGCCACCCGGGUCCUUCCAAAUACUUGUAUCGGAGUGUUUUCGCGACUUGAAGCAAGUGUCCCUAUCAUAUAAAUAAACUAAGUCCUAAUUAGAUACAAAUGUGUAUCUUUACAUUAUAAUUAGGAACCUCGUGUAUUUACAAGCCCCGGAUCAUACCCCUACGCCUUUUUGACUGUUUUUAACUGUUUUCAGGGGGGGAAUACAAGCAAACCAAAACUGUUUUCAAAUCAUAGCAUUGAUGUAUUUCAAAUAAUAUCUGGUAAAUUUAUAAACUCUUUUACUCCUUAUGUAUUAUGUUGAGCAUAAGGAAUGAUUUAUCUAUUACAACCAAAUGGAUUUUAGUUAAGAAAAUAAUCAAACUAAUCAAAUUAUUAUCGGAAUAAUUUGGGGUUCUAUGUUUCUCUUUAUAUCAUGUACUGAUAUCUGUAUUAAGUUAUUAGAUAAACUAUGUCUGAUUCAGUUUAUCUCCGUAUCAUUUGAAUGUUUUGCCAGAUAGUUUCAUUGUAUGUAUCUAUUUUUCACUGUAUCAUGUCUUAAAAUCUUUGUAUGUUUGGUAUCGUAUGAGAAUCCUGUGAAUAGUUUAAUACUAGCUUGUGAGAUAGUCACUACCCUUUAUGGAUGAUCAAGUAAAUCCUCUCCGGAAGUGUAACCAGAGUCUCCUGGAGGGAGAGCGAGGAAUUUGUGAAUAGAUCUAUUCGGGACUGACAAUCCCACACCUUAACUGCUAGCUAUAGUUAGGCGGGCACGCCUGGGGUGACAAAUUCUGUAUAUCGUCCGACGUCUGACUAACGUCAAGGAGGUCUCGUUGUCGUAUCAGUAUGGUUACCCGACUCACAAUACGUAUUAAAAUAAAUUUAUUCACAGCUAGGAUUUUGUUUAGAAUCUAAAUCUUGUUCGGGAUGAUAAUCCCAUGGUCUUGUAUCUAUAUCUCGUUCGGGAUAGUAAUCCCAAGGUUUUAUGUCUAUAUCUCGUUCGGGAUGAUAAUCCCAUGAUCUUGUGUCUAUAUCUCGUUCGGGAUGGUAAUCCCAUGGUUUUGAAACUAAAUCUUAUGCGGGAUGAUAAUCCCAUGAUUUUAUCAAUCUAUCAAAUAUCUAGUUUAGGGAUAGUGAUCCCAUGGCUUUUAUCAAGUUAUCUUAUAUCUAUUUUCGGGAUAGUGAUCCCAUGGUCUUUAUCGAAUUAUCUUGUAACUGGUUCGGGAUGUUAGUCCCAGGGUUUUCAAAAUACUUUCUAUAUACAGUUUGUCUAAAUUAUAGUUUUGUAUAUUAAACUAUACUCUAUGUUAUUUUAAUCAAUCUUGUAUUUAGGAAAAUAUGGGAUUUUCCUGGGGUUAACGUAUAUCACCUAACUGAACUGUAAUGAAAGUUAACGAAACUAAUUAACAUAAGAAAAUAUGGGAUUUUCUUGAAUAACAAAUCUUUUUGGAAAAACUAAAGGAAACCGAUACAUUUAC